rnacentral:rRNA from 1 species
UAGGGAAUCUUCCGCAAUGGGCGAAAGCCUGACGGAGCAACGCCGCGUGAGUGAUGAAGGUCUUCGGAUCGUAAAACUCUGUUAUUAGGGAAGAACAUAUGUGUAAGUAACUGUGCACAUCUUGACGGUACCUAAUCAGAAAGCCACGGCUAACUACGUGCCAGCAGCCGCGGUAAUACGUAGGUGGCAAGCGUUAUCCGGAAUUAUUGGGCGUAAAGCGCGCGUAGGCGGUUUUUUAAGUCUGAUGUGAAAGCCCACGGCUCAACCGUGGAGGGUCAUUGGAAACUGGAAAACUUGAGUGCAGAAGAGGAAAGUGGAAUUCCAUGUGUAGCGGUGAAAUGCGUAGAUAUAUGGAGGAACACCGGUGGCGAAAGCGGCUCUCUGGCUUGUAACUGACGCUGAGGCUCGAAAGCGUGGGGAGCAAACAGGAUUAGAUACCCUGGUAGUCCACGCCGUAACGAUGAGUGCUAGGUGUUAGACCCUUUCCGGGGUUUAGUGUCGCAGCUAACGCAUUAAGCACUCCGCCUGGGGAGUACGACCGCAAGGNU